UGCUGGCCAUCGGCCAGGCCCAGAAGCAGCCAGUCUUCGGUCGGACUGUGAGACAGGCUCAUGAUCUGGAUGAACCAGGCAGAGGCAGCAAUGAGACCCCAGCGGGGCAGCUUCAGUACUGGGAUGACAGCCUUUGCCACCAUUGUCCAGUAUGACAAAAGGCCCACGCCUGUGCAGCCACCCUCUCUGUGCACCUGGGACUGGAACGGAUACUCCUGUGACACAUUGGCCAUCCGCAGGUCCCAGCAUCGCAGACAGGCAUCCAGACUCCCCGUCCAGACAUUGUCAUCUUUGACCACAAGGCUCCUGGCCGCACCGGUAGGGCCUUUGAGGUUCCUGGCCAGAAAGCAAAGGGCUAAGCGUAGGCUUAGCAGUCUGUGUCUAAGAUUCCCUCAAAGCCACGGGACCAACCCGACCUGCUGGGGCUCUGACACCUUUGGUAAGAAGGGGACGGUGACAUCAUCCUAAAGUCCCUGCCUCUAAAAGGUAAUGUUCCAAACCAAUACCUAUAAACCCAGCACUGAGGAAGCUGAGGCAGGAGGAUUGCCAUGAGUUCCAUGCCAGGCUGGGGUACGUAAAGACCCUGCCUCAAAAAUGAGGGUAAGGGGGAAGACUCAAAGCUGGCUGUGGUGACUCAAAAUCACCAUCCCAGCUCCUCAGGAGAUUAAGAAAGGAUGAUAGCAACUUAGAGCCAUCCUAGGCUACAGAGUAAGCUCAGUAUCAUCGCUGCAAACUUCACCUGAUCCGACCUUAAGAUAUGAAACUGUGCAGGGCUUGGCAGCACACAUCUGUCAUCCCAGCGCUCUGGAGGCAGAGGCAGGUGGAUCUCUGAGUUCCAAGGCUAGCCUGGUCUACAUAUUGUGACCCUAUGCCAGAUAAAAUGAAUAAACGUAAAAGUGUUGCCCAGAUGGCUCCCAGGUCACUCCGUGGGUAAAGGAGAGCAGAGUUCCAGGAACCCACUUAGUGGAAGAACAGGCUCCUUGCAGGCUGUCCAGAGCCUCUGUUCUCUCUUUGUCCUACAAGAAUCACAAUGAAUAAGCCAGGCCCACAGAGCACUUAGGAGGUGAAGGCAAGAAGAUAAGGAGAGUUUAAGGUUAUCCUCUGUGCUUGAGGACAACCUGGGCUACAGGAGACACUUACUGUAACCUAAAGGUAAAAAAAGCAGGCUGAGGGGCGUGGUCAGGGAUAGGCCCCCUGCCUAGAAUCCCGCAAUGAUGGGCUGGGGGUGUGGUCAGGGGUGGAGUCCCACCCAGAAUCCCCUAGUGAGGGGGGCUAGGUUGUGGCUCCACUCUGGGGGAGGGGGCUUUGGGCAAGAGCGAGCUCAGGACCUCAGCUCGCUGUGCUUUUGUCCCUGCGUCUGCACCUGACUAUUUCCUGAGUCCGUAGGUCCCAUAUCCUGACCACGCCUUCUGUGAAGCCGGCAAGGACCAUGUUGUCCUUGGUGCUGGCCAGCGCCUGGCAGGACAGGCCCUCGCAGGGCAGCUGGCACUUCUCAUACAGGUACGGGGCCGCCAGGUCCCACACGAUCACGCCAGGUAAGUUGCUUCCACCCGCGAACAGGGCCCUGCUGCUAGAGGACAGCAGGCAGGUGCGCAGGCAUGCCCCGCUGGCCUGUGGAGGAUCAUCCCCAUGAGUGAGGAGCCGCCAGGUCCUUCCAGCGCCUCCCAUCCCCAGUCCCUGCCCUGUCACCUGGACGCUGUAUUGCAAGUGGCUUUCGGGGUGUCUGUCCUCGGCCACCUGGCUCAUGAGGUUCCACACCUUGAUGCCGCUCGGGCUGCAGGUGAAGACAUGGCGCGUGAAGGAGUUCACGGCUAUCACUAACAGCAGAUCCUGGUGCUUCAGCACGCGUACCUUCUGCAGCGUCUGGGGGACAGUGAACCUCUCUGAUUGCGAGAGUGAUGUGCCAGGCCCCUUGCAGCUGUUCUCUAAGACUUCAGAGUCCCAGGACCUAGGGAUAUGGGACCCAGAGUGAAGUAUUCAAGACAGGAUCUUAGUCCAGGUUGGCCUUUAACUCCCUAGGGAGCAAAGGCUGACCUUGAUUUUUUAUUUUUUAUUUUUGGUUUUUUAAGACAGGGUUUCUCUGUGUGGUUCUGGUUGUCCU